ACUCGAGCGGCGAACGGGUGAGUAACACGUGAGUAACCUGCCCCUGACUCUGGGAUAAGCCCGGGAAACUGGGUCUAAUACCGGAUACGACCGCCCCAGGCAUCUGGUGGUGGUGGAAAGUUUUUCGGUCGGGGAUGGACUCGCGGCCUAUCAGCUUGUUGGUGGGGUAAUGGCCUACCAAGGCGACGACGGGUAGCCGGCCUGAGAGGGCGACCGGCCACACUGGGACUGAGACACGGCCCAGACUCCUACGGGAGGCAGCAGUGGGGAAUAUUGCGCAAUGGGCGAAAGCCUGACGCAGCGACGCCGCGUGGGGGAUGACGGCCUUCGGGUUGUAAACCUCUUUCAGCAGGGACGAAGUUGACGUGUACCUGCAGAAGAAGCGCCGGCUAACUACGUGCCAGCAGCCGCGGUAAUACGUAGGGCGCAAGCGUUGUCCGGAAUUAUUGGGCGUAAAGAGCUCGUAGGUGGCUGGUCGCGUCUGCCGUGAAAGCCCGCAGCUUAACUGCGGGUCUGCGGUGGAUACGGGCCGGCUAGAGGUAGGUAGGGGCAAGUGGAAUUCCUGGUGUAGCGGUGAAAUGCGCAGAUAUCAGGAGGAACA
rnacentral:rRNA from 1 species